ensembl:lncRNA
UUUUUUCCCCUCACCCCCUUUCUACCCCACUGGCUGCUUUCAAGUUUUCUUUUAGGAGGGGCUUCACUUUGUGUUAUCCUUACAUAUAAAAAUUCCCAGUAAGUAUUUUCAGAGAUCUGUGAGGUCAUAUUAGCCUGGAUUCCCUUCAUGCUUCUCUGGUGGAGGUAUAUUUGUUAUUUUGUCACCUAUCGGAGGCCCUGAUAUAGCUGCAGGUGACUGGGAAGGGACAUCCUUCCUUUGUAGCAGUAAAAUACUCACAGCCUCCUUUAUCACAGAACGUGCACCCUGCAACAGCCUCUAAGGGAAUGAAAGCAGAAAAAUGCUGCAGCUGCCAUGAAGAGGCAAAAAUUGAAACUAGCUCCAGAUUUAAAUUUCAGAGAGAUUCAAACAUCAGCAUUCUCAGCACUACCUUUUCAAAAAUACAACGCAGGGGAGUUCUGCCCAGUAUGGGAACAAGCUACUAAUGAGCAGAGGAGAACUUCAUCCCAGAAGAUAGUUAUUAGAAAUCAAGGUGGAGGUAAAUGUAGCUUGAAAGAUCCAACCAAAACUGUCUGCCAAACAUACUGCUUUUUGAUAAUUGUGGCCUUCCAUAUACUCCAGCUACCUUUUAAUCAGUGGGAAUUUGUUUACAGGAGAAUUCUGAGAUCUGGUAACUUUCCUAUCCCUUUUCCAGGCUAUCUGUUUACCUUCUGGUAUCUCAGAAGCAUUCAGCAAAUAAGUCUCCAGAAAGACUGUUUGAGAACAGCUCCUACACAAGACUGUAACAAUAUAAGGAGGUGCACUUCAGAGUAGAAAUAUGAACCCUAAUAAUAGGUUUUUACUUAACAAUAUAAUCUCAUUUUUAGAAUUCUUGGGUUUGCCUCCUUCCAAAACAGCUGUGCUGUCUUGAUAAGAUUUUUAGGUUAUAAACAAGCAAAUAAAUAUCAGAAAUUGGACUUGUACAUGAAUAGGACCUAACAUUAUUAUUUUCCACUUCCUUCCCUUCCCCCCCCCCAACCCCCCCAAGUAUUUUCAUAGUCACACAUUUUCCUGUAAAGUGUAACCAUUACUGACCCCAUUACUAACAAAUCUCUCAGAAAACCCCACUUAAUAGGGAGAAACAUGAAAACCUCAAGAAACAAAAGGUAUCUGAUUUCCAAACAGAAUGCCUAUUUAAGACCAAACCUCAUUAGGGACAAGUCCUCCAGGCAAACAUCCUCUCAUUAUUUAUUGUCAUGGUUUACUGCAGAUUCCUCCGUGUAAUUCACAGUUGGCUUUUAAAUAAAUCUCUCUGUAUGGUAAAUGUGAUAUUCCUUCAUUUAAGCAGCAGGGUUAUCUUAAAACUGAGCAAGACCAAAAUUUCAUAUUUCAAAACUCAUAAACAGCUUAGAGCAUGACAGUAAUGCAAUGACGAGAAGAAAAAGUAUGACUGACAACAUAUGGUUGAAGAGUUUGGUAGCAGUGGUUAUACAAUGUAAUUCAUUUCAUGAUAAUAUAAGUCAGACUGCAAAGCAAAAGCAAUUAGGAAAUAAGUGAUGAUAAUGAAGAAUUACUCAUGGUGAGGAACUUCUCUAUAGUGGAAGGAUGGUUCUGUGUUCUAAUCAACAGUUAAGGCCUUAAAGCCCUGGAUUUAAAGCUCAGUAUCCUAUCCUUGGUCCUGAUUUUUAGAGGGUCAGUUGGGCCCAAGAGUAUGAAAAGUUCUGAGGUACUCUCAUCUGUUGGUGAAAUUGGUCCACAACUCCUACAGCUCAAGUGAGCAUCUGGAAAUGGGCAGGAGACAGCUGGAAGCUGGAAAGCUUCUCUUUCUCCUAAGGCAUACUGUGGUUUCCUUGCUUAUCUUAUCCAGGAGAUGGAAGUCUGGGAGAUCUCCCUACAUACUUUAAUCACAUCAAAGGGUUAACUAUGAUUUUGCCUAAGAUGAAAAGUGCUUGACCAUGAAUUCCAAUUCUUAUUGCAAUAAGAUGCUGAGAAUGGUUAAAGGAGCCCGGAGUACCUCCAUAAUUUGCAUCUCUGAUUAGAACAGGGUGAAGUUCUCUUCAAGGAGAAAGUCCUCUGGUGUGAUCCAUUUUUCUCCUGUAGCUAAAAAUUCUUGGGCUGAUUCAGCACCUGGGCUGAUGAGUUGGCCCCUGGAAGCACUCACCAUGGUUGCUCUUGAGGAAGCUGGAGGGGCAGCGCAGCGGAAAGUUUCUCUCCUCACCAGAGGACAUGCACGCAGCCCAGUGCUUGCCAGGACAAUGCCUCCUCCAUCCCUUUCUUGGCUCAGAGCACAGCGUCUACCACUACUCAUAAAAAAUACUGUCUCUUAAAUUUCAUAUUUACCACUUUGCGUAACAGAU